UACAGAGGGUGCGAGCGUUAAUCGGAAUUACUGGGCGUAAAGCGCACGUAGGUGGCGACGUAAGUCGGGUGUGAAAGCCCCGGGCUCAACCUGGGAAUUGCAUUCGAGACUGCAUUGCUGGAGUACGGAAGAGGAGGGCGGAAUUCCCGGUGUAGCGGUGAAAUGCGUAGAUAUCAGGAGGAACACCGGUGGCGAAGGCGGGUCUCUGGGCCGAUACUGACGCUGAGGAGCGAAAGCGUGGGGAGCGAACAGG
rnacentral:rRNA from 1 species